rnacentral:rRNA from 1 species
AUUGAACGCUGGCGGCAUGCCUUACACAUGCAAGUCGAACGGCAGCACGGGAGCAAUCCUGGUGGCGAGUGGCGAACGGGUGAGUAAAGUAUCGGAACGUGCCCAGUCGUGGGGGAUAACGUAGCGAAAGUUACGCUAAUACCGCAUACGAUCUAUGGAUGAAAGCGGGGGAUCGCAAGACCUCGCGCGAUUGGAGCGGCCGAUAUCAGAUUGGGUAGUUGGGGGGGUAAAGGCUCACCAAGCCGACGAUCUGUAGCGGGUCUGAGAGGACGACCAGCCAAACUGGGACUGAGACACGGCCCAGACUCCUACGGGAGGCAGCAGUGGGGAAUUUUGGACAAUGGGCGCAAGCCUGAUCCAGCCAUGCCGCGUGCAGGAUGAAGGCCUUCGGGUUGUAAACUGCUUUUGUACGGAACGAAAAGGUUUGACUUAAUACGUUGGACUCAUGACGGUACCGUAAGAAUAAGCACCGGCUAACUACGUGCCAGCAGCCGCCGUAACAC